rnacentral:rRNA from 1 species
GUGGGGAAUCUUGCGCAAUGGGCGAAAGCCUGACGCAGCCAUGCCGCGUGAAUGAUGAAGGUCUUAGGAUUGUAAAAUUCUUUCACCGGGGACGAUAAUGACGGUACCCGGAGAAGAAGCCCCGGCUAACUUCGUGCCAGCAGCCGCGGUAAUACGAAGGGGGCUAGCGUUGCUCGGAAUUACUGGGCGUAAAGGGCGCGUAGGCGGACAGUUUAGUCAGAGGUGAAAGCCCAGGGCUCAACCUUGGAAUUGCAUUUGAUACUGGCUGUCUUGAGUACGGGAGAGGUGAGUGGAACUCCGAGUGUAGAGGUGAAAUUCGUAGAUAUUCGGAAGAACACCAGUGGCGAAGGCGACUCACUGGCCCGUUACUGACGCUGAGGCGCGAAAGCGUGGGGAGCAAACAGGAUUAGAUACCCGAGUAGUCC